rnacentral:piRNA from 1 species
UAGCUGACCAUAUUUCUAGGCAGCCUG